CAGCCGCCGCGGUAAUACGUAGGUGGCAAGCGUUGUCCGGAAUUAUUUGGCGUAAAGGGCUCGCAGGCGGUUUCUUAAGUCUGAUGUGAAAGCCCCCGGCUCAACCGGGGAGGGUCAUUGGAAACUGGGAAACUUGAGUGCAGAAGAGGAGAGUGGAAUUCCACGUGUAGCGGUGAAAUGCGUAGAGAUGUGGAGGAACACCAGUGGCGAAGGCGACUCUCUGGUCUGUAACUGACGCUGAGGAGCGAAAGCGUGGGGAGCGAACAGGAUUAGAUACCCCGCGUAGUCCCUGUCUCUUAUU
rnacentral:rRNA from 1 species